rnacentral:rRNA from 1 species
UUGAACGCUGGCGGAAUGCUUUACACAUGCAAGUCGAGCGGCAGCGCGGGGGCAACCCUGGCGGCGAGCGGCGAACGGGUGAGUAAUACAUCGGAACGUACCCAGUUGUGGGGGAUAGCCCGGCGAAAGCCGGAUUAAUACCGCAUAAGUCCUGAGGGAGAAAGCGGGGGACCGUAAGGCCUCGCGCGAUUGGAGCGGCCGAUGUUCGAUUAGCUAGUUGGUGGGGUAAAGGCCUACCAAGGCGACGAUCCGUAGCGGGUCUGAGAGGAUGAUCCGCCACACUGGGACUGAGACACGGCCCAGACUCCUACGGGAGGCAGCAGUGGGGAAUUUUGGACAAUGGGGGCAACCCUGAUCCAGCCAUGCCGCGUGAGUGAAGAAGGCCUUCGGGUUGUAAAGCUCUUUCAGCCGGAACGAAACGGUACGCUCUAACAUAGCGUGCUAAUGACGGUACCGGCAGAAGAAGCACCGGCUAACUACGU